ACUGAGGGUUUUCACCUUGAGAAGGCUCCAGAGAGACCUUAGAGUCCCUGCCAGUGCCUAAAGAGGCUGCAAGAGAGCUGGACAGGG